GGCGAUCAGAUACCGCCCUAGUUCUGACCGUAAACGAUGCCAACUAGCGAUCCGCCAGUCGACUCAUCGCUCUGGUGGGGAGCUUCCCGGAAACGAAAGUCUUCCGGUUCCGGGGGAAGUAUGGUUGCAAAGCUGAAACUUAAAGGAAUUGACGGAAGGGCACCACCAGGAGUGGAGCCUGCGGCUUAAUUUGACUCAACACGGGGAAACUCACCCGGCCCGGACACCGUAAGGAUUGACAGAUUGAUAGCUUUUUCAUGAUUCGGUGGAUGGUGGUGCAUGGCCGUUCUUAGUUCGUGGAGCGAUUUGUCUGGUUUAUUCCGAUAACGAGCGAGACUCUGGCCUACUAAAUAGUUGACGCAUUGCCACUGUGCGCACAACUUCUUAGAGGGAUUUUCGGUGUUUUCAACCGCACGAAAUUGAGCAAUAACAGGUCUGUGAUGCCCUUAGAUGUCCGGGGCUGCACGCGCGCUACACUGGCAAACGCAACGUGCCUGUCCUGCCCCGAAAGGAGCGGGUAAACCCCUGAAAUUUUGCCGUGAUUGGGAUCGGACAUUGCAACUAUUGUCCGUGAACGAGGAAUUCCUUGUAGGGGCGAGUCAUCAACUCGUCCCGAAUACGUCC
rnacentral:rRNA from 1 species